ensembl:lncRNA
UAAUAACCCUGAACCUGACAUAGUUUUCAGCUUCCUUGUGAACCAAUCACCCACUGAGCCGAAGAGCAUAGCCCAAGUGAAAGCAAAUGCUGCUGUAUGCUUACCCUACUUAAAGAAGACUGACAGGGAGAAUAAAGUUUCAGAUGUUUUUAUUCAAAGGUUUCUCAAAAGAAAUAAAACAGAAAAAGCUAACAAUCUGAUCAAAUGUACAGUUCAAAAAUGUCUUUUGGCGUUUAACAAGUCCUAGGAAAGAAAACUACAGAGUCAUCUUGAACCGGUAAAUAAGUCACCGCUGGCAAGUAUGUAGCACUAGUAGAACAAAAAUAAAAAAUUAACUCUCUUGAUCAUAUAGAUAUCUCUAUGAAAAUCUUUUUUUUUUCAAUCUGUACAAAAGGUCUUUCUUCAUAAAUUAAUUUUUUUUAUAAUUUAAUGGCUGUCUACUAUGUGAUGUUUAACUGACUUUUUUUUUUUUUAUUAUGUACAGAGGUUGUUUCCCAAAUCUGACCCAGACAAGUAUGGCACUUAGUUCAGACAUACCUAGCAGCAGAUUUCCCCUCCCCUACUGACUGAGCUACCAUCUUUCUGUCUUAACUAAUGGAAAAAAUAUCAAGUAGUGAGAGCCCCGGGCUGAUAAACACACUAGAAUCUACACUUCUCAGAGCAGCAAGGACGUUUGAAACUAUGAAAUGUCACUGACAUCUAUCAUCAAAUACAAGCAAUAAAAUUUAAGAACUAAAAAAUACUCAAAAGAAGUAACUGCUUAGCCCUAGCUCCCGAGCUAGGAGGAUUUGGUCGGUGGAAACAGGGAGGGCCAGCAACCUGUCCCAGCACAAAAGAAAAGCCUCUGAGGUAGAUAACUGAUCAUCCACAGCUGACCAGACAAGUACACAGUUUUGGAAGACAACUUAAUUUACCAUUGCUUUUAAAACGUAUGCAAUUGCCUUAAGAAAAGAGCAUUAAUAACAAUGAAUUAUCUCAUAUGUACUAAAGUAGAAAUAACUGUAUUUAUGAAUCAGGAAUUUCAUAGUUUCAAAGUUGGUUUUCUUUACACUUGAACACCUGUAGUGAUGACGUAAAGUGUGGCACUGCUUGGAUUCAAAUCUUCCUUCAUGCUUUUUUUUUUUUUUUAAAUUUGUCUCUGUGAGUCCAUACAUCAGUUAAAAUUAUAAAACCUAAUGCAAAGGUACAAAAAAGGCACAUUCUCCUAACCGCAAACUGGUCCGGCAAAAAUAAAGAGCAGAGAAAAUGUGACGCUGAGACAAGGUGGAGUUACUGGCUACUGGCUCUUCGGUCUUUGGUGAAGUUACCUUUAAAAGUGCCAAGUCAUUUUUAGUUUUUCAAAAUUUACCUAAUAGAGAGCGAGCGAGCAAGUGAGAGAGAGAGAGAGCUAGUAGCCAAUUGCUUUUCUUCUGUUCAUAUCUCAGCUCAGGUUUGAAGAGAAAUCCUUACUUUUAGCUUUUGCCAUUUAGUUUUAAUAGCAACAACCCCCCCCCCUCGGUUUGCCAGAUCACAGGCAUGGUUCUCAUUCUAAAGCACUAUCGUUAGUAUAAAGGACAAAACAUUAGGUGACUCCCCUCCC